CAGUCGCCGCGGUAAUACGAAGGGGGCUAGCGUUGUUCGGAAUUACUGGGCGUAAAGCGCACGUAGGCGGAUAUUUAAGUCAGGGGUGAAAUCCCGCAGCUCAACUGCGGAGCUGCCUUUGAUACUGGGUAUCUUGAGUAUGGAAGAGGUUAGUGGAAUUGCGAGUGUAGAGGUGAAAUUCGUAGAUAUUCGCAGGAACACCAGUGGCGAAGGCGGCUAACUGGUCCAUAACUGACGCUGAGGUGCGAAAGCGUGGGGAGCAAACAGGAUUAGAUACCCCCGUAGUCCCUGUCUCUUAUAC
rnacentral:rRNA from 1 species